AAUUAAGUAACCACCACCCACCCCACCUCCUUUAUUGCUCUUUUUAUUACACCAUUACUAUCCUUUGCUGUAUAAAACGUAUCAAAUUUGCUCACUUUUUGUUAACGAAUGUGUGCUUUCUAUUAUAUUUUGUAGUUUUCUAUAUGUUUUGAUAUUUUUUGAGGCAAAUGUGCCCCAUCUUUUUCCACAAUUUUGUGUUGUAUAGGCAAAUGUGCCCCAUCUUUUUACACAAUUUUGUGUUACUUAUAUAUACCUUGAUAUUGUAUGUAAUUUGCUAGUCAAAAAAGUUGUAUAUAAUUGUUCUUUUUACGUAACACAGGAUCUCUGAUUUUUGCAUAAUUGUUUAUAAAUUGUGCCAUGACUUAAUUUGUUUAUUUUGCAGUAGUUAUUCUAUGCAUUUGGAUUGUUUUAUAUUUGUCAUUUAUUUAUAUGAAUAAAUGACCUCUUCUAUUCCUC
rnacentral:sRNA from 1 species